rnacentral:rRNA from 1 species
AUGGGAAAGGGAGAUGUGGCCACUAGGUCCAAAUCCCAGAAAUCGUCGACAGCACAGGUCUGUGUGAACAAACUGAACUGCAUGAGUAAUUAUUGUCACUAUCUUACCUUGUUUUACUUGUUCCAGAAUGAACAGAGUACACCUACUAAUCCUCCUACAGCAUAUCCUGACUGGUCCCAGUUUCAGGCAUACUAUAAUGUCCCUGGUACGACUCAAAUGACCCCGCCGGCUUAUUUUCAUUCAACGGUGGCUCCAAGUCCUCAGGGGCAUCCAUAUAUGUGGGGUCCACAGAUGAUGCCUCCUUAUGGGACACCGCCACCAUACGCAACAAUGUAUGCUCAAGGCACACCAUAUCAGCAGGCUCCUAUGCCACCGGGCUCACACCCAUACAGCCCAUAUCCUGUUCAAGCACCAAAUGGGACAGUUCAAACUCCUACAUCUGGCGCUGGAGGGUCGGAGACAGAUAAGUCAAACAAAAAUAAGCGGAAGACUCCCCUGAAGAGAUCCAAAGGAAGCUUAGGUAGUCUGGAUGUAGUUACAGUAAAAGAUAAAACGCCACCUGCAAAACCUUUAGUGUCAUCCUCUAAUGAAGGUUCUUCACAAAGCGAGAGUGGAAGCGGAAGUUAUUCUGGAGGAAGCAGUACAAAUUCUAAAAGUGGUUCACACACAAAGGAUGGUUCUGAGCACGGCCCGGCUAAUGAUGCUAGCAAUAAAGGAGUCACUGCUCAGGGCACAGCAGUUGAGCCCACACAAGUAUCUUCUGGGCCAGUUGUGCUUAACCCUAUGAUGCCAUAUUGGCCUGUUCCCCCUCCCAUGCCUGGCCAAGCAACUGGUGUAAGCAUGGGAGUGGAUUACUGGGGUGCUCCUACUUCUGUACCUAUGCAUGGCAAAGCUGUCGCUGCACCGACAUCUGCUCCUUCAUCAAAUUCUCGUGAUAUCGUUCUUAGUGAUCCGGUCAUACAGGAUGAACGAGAAGUGAAGAAACAAAAACGGAAGCAAUCAAACAGGGAAUCAGCUCGUCGCUCUAGAUUGCGCAAGCAGGCUGAAUGGGAGGAAGUAGCCAGUCGAGCUGAUUUGCUGAAGCAGGAGAACAGUUCACUGAAGGAAGAAUUGAAACAACUUCAGGAGAAGUGUGAUAACUUGACCUCAGAAAAUACAUCUUUGCAUGAAAAGCUUAAAGCGCUUGAUAGUGAGAAGCCAAAUGGAAACUUGUGA